rnacentral:rRNA from 1 species
UACGUAGGGGGCGAGCGUUAUCCGGAAUUACUGGGUGUAAAGGGAGCGUAGACGGCGAAGUAAGCCUGAAGUGGAAGCCCGCGGCCCAACCGCGGAACUGCUUUGGGAACUGCUUAGCUGGAGUAUGGGUGGGGUAAGCGGAAUUCCUGGUGUAGCGGUGAAAUGCGUAGAUAUCAGGAGGAACACCGGUGGCGAAGGCGGCUUACUGGACCAUGACUGACGUUGAGGCUCGAAAGCGUGGGGAGCGAACAGG